UGGGGAAUUUUGGACAAUGGGGGAAACCCUGAUCCAGCCAUCCCGCGUGUGCGAUGAAGGCCUUCGGGUUGUAAAGCACUUUUGGCAGGAAAGAAACGUCAUGGGUUAAUACCCCGUGAAACUGACGGUACCUGCAGAAUAAGCACCGGCUAACUACGUGCCAGCAGCCGCGGUAAUACGUAGGGUGCAAGCGUUAAUCGGAAUUACUGGGCGUAAAGCGUGCGCAGGCGGUUCGGAAAGAAAGAUGCGAAAUCCCAGAGCUCAACUUUGGAACUGCAUUUUUAACUACCGGGCUAGGGUGGGUAAGAGGGAGGUGGAAUUCCGCGUGUAGCAGUGAAAUGCGUAGAUAUGCGGAGGAACACCGAUGGCGAAGGCAGCCUCCUGGGAUAACACUGACGCUCAUGCACGAAAGCGUGGGGAGCAAACAG
rnacentral:rRNA from 1 species